GUUGGGAGUCCCUGCUUUGACUCUGUUUGCAAACUCUUGUUUUUAUAGUUUAAGCGAUUAAAUCUCUCGAGUAGACGCUGUCUCUUUAGAUGCGAGGGAAAAAAAGCACUUUAUGGACUUCCACAGAGGACAUCAUGUUUAAUACGGUUCCGGAAAAAUCCAGUCAGAAGUUGUUCACGGAGUUUUCACAAUAACUGCUUCUCAUGAACCGAAGCUGGACGUCUCCUCCUGAAAGUUGGAUUACUGUGUACUUCUGGAUCACAGGCUAUUCGCAGCUGUACACAUCCUUCUACACUGUAUGCAAACAUGCAACAUCAUUACACACAGUACAAGGAGUCAGACUGGCAUAUGAGGAGCAAAGGAACCCAGGCAGUAGCAUCGUUUCACAAUGUUUCCAUCACCAUCAUCAGUGGAUGCCUUUGCCGUCUGUAGCCUGAGAUUUCAGAUUUGCAGCAAAAAAAAUUAGAUUUUCUCAUUUAUUGGAAUGCUGUGCAGGUAUUUGUACCUUGCAGCCAUCCAUUACAAUGUCACCAAGCCGUAACAAAAGCAGGAGAGGGAAAGUACAAGGCUAUGUUCCCAAAACACACAAGUGACAUACCGUAAGCAGUAAUGUUUUAUUUCAAAUACAUUCAUAAUUAAAAACUUAAUGUAUGAAGCAGGGAAAUAAAUUAUCAAAACAAAAGAUUUAUUGACUGCAAUAUUUGUACAGUUAUGUGGAUGAUGUGAUCAGGCUUGUGUUUGAUGAGGUAUUUGAAGAUAAGCUGAAGGAAGCCCCGAUUCCAAUGGACCUGGCAUCACAGUUUGAGAGACCUUCAAAGGAGGACGUGAUUGCAUGCCAUCUUCAGUGCAGGGGUCGUCGAAAGCCAAAAUUGUGACCGAUCUGAUCAGGAAGCUCCAAGCGUAUCUGGAGAACAACACACGACAGGAUGAUAACCUUAUAGUGUCGUCUUAAAUAGCACCAGCUGACAAAGCUUUGAUAUGCCAUUUAUCUGAAUAGAUAGCUGUAAGAAAUGAAUUGAACAAUUUUUGAAACAAGAGCACAAUAUGGUUACUAAAGU